rnacentral:lncRNA from 1 species
UGAGAAUAAGGAGUGAUAUAGUUUGGAUGUUUGUCCCCAACCAAAUCUCAUGUUGAAUUGUAAUCUCCAAUGCUGGAGGUGGGGCCUGAUGGGAGGCGUUUGGGUCAUGAGGGCAGAUGAUUCAUGGCUUGGUGCUGUCUUCACGAUAGUGAGUUUUGCAACAUCUGGUCAUUUAAAUGUGUGACACCUCCCCCCUCACUCUCUCUUUCUUCUGUUCUUACCACUUUAUGUGCUUGCUCCCCUUUUGCCUUCUGCCAUAAUUGGAAGCUUCCUGAGGCCUCUUCAGAAGCAGAUGCUGCUAUGCUUCCUAUACAGCCUGCAGAACCGUGAGCCAAUUAAACCUCUUUUCUCACAAAUUACCCAGUCUCUGGUAUUUCUUUAUAGCAGUGCCUGAACAGCCUAAUACAGAAAAUUCUUACCAAGGAUUGGGGCAUUGCUAUAAAGAUACCCGAAAAUGUGAAAGCACCUUUAGAACAGGCAACAAGAAGAGGUUGGAAGAGUUUGAGUGCUCAGAAGACAGAAAAAUAGUAAUUUGUACUGCACCCCCAAAUUCCUCACUUUCAUUCAGUGAGGAUCUGGAGACUGCCUGGAGUCCUCUAAUUCACCGAGGAAAGAGCUGGGGAUAAAUAUGUUAACUGAAGUAUGAUUUUCUCAUAGUCAGAAACGCAUCAGACAUAAAAAGCAAGCUAUUCAGAAACACAGGAGAGGAGUUUCAAGGAGAGGAUGAUAGGACAUGUCAGAUGGAGACGCAGGCACGGUGGCUCACGCCUGUAAUCCCAGCACUUUGGGAGGCCAAGGCGGAUGGAUCACCUGAGGUCAGGAGUUCCAGACCAGCCACAGUAACACCAAAGUUGGGGAGACAGAGAAGAGUUUCAAUUAAAAAAAAAAAGUUUUUUUCUGUGACAUUGCUGAAUUUGGUUUUCAUAUGAUGUUCCAAAUAAACACAACAUUUGUACUGUUGACUAAACAGAGUCCCAACCAGACUGAACACUUAUUGUGCACAAGGACGGA